GCGGGGAUUGUCUAGCUAGGUCAAAGACGCAAGAGUCAGAUUCUUGUCUCGUAGGAGUUCAUGGGUUCAAAUCCCUUUCCCCGCACCA
rnacentral:tRNA from 1 species